UCACCCCUCAAGCCCCCGGCUUGGUUUUGGACGGUCUGGUUUAGGCCCCCGCCUAGACCCCUCCUAAAGAUAAUGACGGCGGCCUCGUUGGACCCCCGGUACACUGAGCUUCUUAACUGAGCACGUAUCGGACCUAGGGUGCGCGGGACACGGUCUUCAACCCCCUUUUUUUCUAA
rnacentral:misc_RNA from 1 species